AGUGAACGCUGGCGGUAGGCCUAACACAUGCAAGUCGAACGGCAGCACAGUAAGAGCUUGCUCUUACGGGUGGCGAGUGGCGGACGGGUGAGGAAUACAUCGGAAUCUACUUUUUCGUGGGGGAUAACGUAGGGAAACUUACGCUAAUACCGCAUACGACCUACGGGUGAAAGCAGGGGAUCUUCGGACCUUGCGCGAUUGAAUGAGCCGAUGUCGGAUUAGCUAGUUGGCGGGGUAAAGGCCCACCAAGGCGACGAUCCGUAGCUGGUCUGAGAGGAUGAUCAGCCACACUGGAACUGAGACACGGUCCAGACUCCUACGGGAGGCAGCAGUGGGGAAUAUUGGACAAUGGGCGCAAGCCUGAUCCAGCCUACCGCGUGGGUGAAGAAGGCCUUCGGGUUGUAAAGCCCUUUUGUUGGGAAAGAAAAGCAGCAGGUUAAUACCCCGCUGUUCUGACGGUACCCAAAGAAUAAGCACCGGCUAACUUCGUG
rnacentral:rRNA from 1 species